rnacentral:tRNA from 1 species
GACUCCGUAGCUCAGUUGGUAGAGCAAUUGACUCUUAAUCAAUGGGUCGAGGGUUCGAGUCCCUCCGGGGUCA